GAUGAAGAACGUAGCGAAAUGCGAUAAGUAGUGUGAAUUGCAGAAUUCAGUGAAUCAUCGAAUCUUUGAACGCACAUUGCGCCCCUUGGUUUUCCAUGGGGCAUGCCUGUUCGAGCGUCAUUUGUACCUUCAAGCUUUGCUUGGUGUUGGGUGUUUGUCUCGCCUUUGCGUGUAGACUCGCCUUAAAAUAAUUGGCAGCCGGCGUAUUGAUUUCGGAGCGCAGUACAUCUCGCGCUUUGCACUCAUAACGACAGCGUCCAAAAGUACAUUUUACACUCUUGACCUCGGAUCAGGUAGGGAUACCCGCUGAACUUAAGCAUAUCAAUAAGCGGAGGA
rnacentral:misc_RNA from 1 species